UACCAAGGAUUCCCUCAGUAACGGCGAGUGAAGCGGGAAAAGCUCAAAUUUAAAAUCUGGUUUGCUUGCAAGCCCGAGUUGUAGUCUGAAGAAACGUUUUCCAUAAGCACUGAGGCAAAAGUCCUUUGGAACAAGGCAUCAUAGAGGGUGAGAAUCCCGUCCAUGGUCUCAAGUUGUUUAUUUUGUGAUACGUUUUCAAAGAGUCAGGUUGUUUGGGAAUGCAGCCUAAAAUGGGUGGUAAAUUUCAUCUAAAGCUAAAUAUUGGCGAGAGACCGAUAGCGAACAAGUACCGUGAGGGAAAGAUGAAAAGAACUUUGAAAAGAGAGUUAAACAGUACGUGAAAUUGUUGAAAGGGAACCGUUUGAAGCCAGUCUUACUUGCCUGUGAUCAAUUUUUGCUUCGGCAUGAAUGCACUCUCGGGUAUGGUAGGCCAACGACAGUUUGGAAUGCGAGAAAAAAAUAAAGGAAAUGUGGCCUUCGGGUGUUAUAGUCCUUUAUAAAAUAUCGUGUUCUGGACUGAGGAUCGCAGCAAAAAUGUGGGCAGGUGGAUUUCUGUGGUAACUGUCGAUUAGGACAACUUGUUGACCUAGUCUUCCUUAGCCUCACUAUUUACCUUGCUUCUAAUUUGCUUAGGUCGUUGGCAUAAUGGCUUUAAAUGA
rnacentral:rRNA from 1 species